rnacentral:rRNA from 1 species
UACCAGCAACCCGAGUGGUCGGGACGUUUAUUGGGCCUAAAGCAUCCGUAGCCGGUUCUACAAGUCUUCCGUUAAAUCCACCUGCUCAACAGAUGGGCUGCGGAAGAUACUAUGGAGCUAGGAGGCGGGAGAGGCAAGCGGUACUCGAUGGGUAGGGGUAAAAUCCGUUGAUCCAUUGAAGACCACCAGUGGCGAAGGCGGCUUGCCAGAACGCGCUCGACGGUGAGGGAUGAAAGCUGGGGGAGCAAACCGG